rnacentral:rRNA from 1 species
GAUGAACGCUGGCGGCGUGCCUAAUACAUGCGAGUCGAGCGAACAGACGAGGAGCUUGCUCCUCUGACGUUAGCGGCGGACGGGUGAGUAACACGUGGAUAACCUACCUAUAAGACUGGGAUAACUUCGGGAAACCGGAGCUAAUACCGGAUAAUAUAUUGAACCGCAUGGUUCAAUAGUGAAAGACGGUUUUGCUGUCACUUAUAGAUGGAUCCGCGCCGCAUUAGCUAGUUGGUAAGGUAACGGCUUACCAAGGCAACGAUGCGUAGCCGAACUGAGAGGGUGAUCGGCCACACUGGAACUGAGACACGGUCCAGACUCCUACGGGAGGCAGCAGUAGGGAAUCUUCCGCAAUGGGCGAAAGCCUGACGGAGCAACGCCGCGUGAGUGAUGAAGGUCUUCGGAUCGUAAAACUCUGUUAUUAGGGAAGAACAAAUGUGUAAGUAACUAUGCACGUCUUGACGGUACCUAAUCAGAAAGCAACGGCUAACUACGUG